rnacentral:ncRNA from 1 species
GGCAAAGUUAAUAAGGGCGCACGGUGGAUGCCUUGGCACUAAGAGCCGAUGAAGGACGUGACUAACGACGAUAUUCUAGGGGGAGCAGUAAGUACGCAUUGAUCCCUAGGUCUCCGAAUGGGGAAACCCAGCU